UGAAUGACUNUCGGCAACGGAUAUNUCGGCUCUUGCAUCGAUGAAGAACGUAGCGAAAUGCGAUACUUGGUGUGAAUUGCAGAAUCCCGUGAACCAUCGAGUCUUUGAACGCAAGUUGCGCCCGAGGCCACUAGGUUGAGGGCACGUCUGCCUGGGCGUCACAC
rnacentral:rRNA from 1 species